ensembl:snRNA U1 U1 spliceosomal RNA
AUACUUCUGUAGUGGGGAGACGUCAUGACCAUGGAGUAAGGCUCUUUUUCCCAGGUGAGGCUCAUCUAUUGCACUCUGGAUAUGGAGAUCCCUGUGAGUUCUGCAUAUGUGGGGGAAAUUCUACUGCAUAAUUACUGGUAGUGGAGAAGUGCAUUCCUGCUUUCUUUC